UCGGGAAUUUUGGGCAAUGGGCGAAAGCCUGACCCAGCAACGCCGCGUGAAGGAUGAAGUAUUUCGGUAUGUAAACUUCGAAAGAAUAGGAAGAAUAAAUGACGGUACUAUUUAUAAGGUCCGGCUAACUACGUGCCAGCAGCCGCGGUAAUACGUAGGGACCAAGCGUUGUUCGGAUUUACUGGGCGUAAAGGGCGCGUAGGCGGCAUGACAAGUCACUUGUGAAAUCUCUGGGCUUAACCCAGAACGGCCAAGUGAUACUGUCGCGCUAGAGUGCAGAAGGGGCAAUCGGAAUUCUUGGUGUAGCGGUGAAAUGCGUAGAUAUCGGAAGGAACAUCGGUGGCGAAGGCGUCUACCUGGCCUAAUACUGACACUGAGGCACGAAAGCGUGGGGAGCAAACAGGAUUAGAUACCCACGUAGUCCCUGAGCGGGCUGGCAAGGCGCAU
rnacentral:rRNA from 1 species